rnacentral:rRNA from 1 species
ACAUGCAAGUCGGACGGUAGCACAGAGGAGCUUGCUCCUCGGGUGACGAGUGGCGGACGGGUGAGUAAUGUCUGGGGAUCUGCCCGAUAGAGGGGGAUAACCACUGGAAACGGUGGCUAAUACCGCAUAACGUCGCAAGACCAAAGAGGGGGACCUUCGGGCCUCUCACUAUCGGAUGAACCCAGAUGGGAUUAGCUAGUAGGCGGGGUAAUGGCCCACCUAGGCGACGAUCCCUAGCUGGUCUGAGAGGAUGACCAGCCACACUGGAACUGAGACACGGUCCAGACUCCUACGGGAGGCAGCAGUGGGGAAUAUUGCACAAUGGGCGCAAGCCUGAUGCAGCCAUGCCGCGUGUAUGAAGAAGGCCUUCGGGUUGUAAAGUACUUUCAGCGGGGAGGAAGGCGAUGGGGUUAAUAACCUUGUCGAUUGACGUUACCCGCAAAAGAAGCACCGGCUAACUCCGUGCCAGCAGCCGCGGUAAUACGGAGGGUGCAAGCGUUAAUCGGAAUUACUGGGCGUAAAGCGCACGCAGGCGGUCUGUUAAGUCAGAUGUGAAAUCCCCGGGCUUAACCUGGGAACUGCAUUUGAAACUGGCAGGCUUGAGUCUCGUAGAGGGGGGUAGAAUUCCAGGUGUAGCGGUGAAAUGCGUAGAGAUCUGGAGGAAUACCGGUGGCGAACGCGGCCCCCUGGACGAAGACUGACUCUCAUGUGCGAAAGCGUGGGGAGCAAACAGAUUAGAUACCCUUUUA